rnacentral:rRNA from 1 species
UACGAAGGAUUCAAGCGUUGUCCGGAAUCACUGGGCGUAAAGGGCGCGUAGGCGGUCUGCUAAGCGUGUGGUGAAAGCUCGGGGCUCAACCCCGAGUCUGCCAUGCGAACUGGUGGACUAGAGCACUGUAGAGGCAGGUGGAAUUCCGGGUGUAGCGGUGGAAUGCGUAGAGAUCCGGAAGAACACCGGUGGCGAAGGCGGCCUGCUGGGCAGUUGCUGACGCUGAGGCGCGACAGCGUGGGGAGCAAACAGG